ACGGAGGGAGCGAGCGUUAAUCGGAAUUACUGGGCGUAAAGCGCGCGUAGGCGGCUUUGUAAGUCGGAUGUGAAAGCCCAGGGCUUAACCCUGGAAUUGCAUUCGAUACUGCAUGGCUAGAGUAUGGUAGAGGGAAGUGGAAUUUCCGGUGUAGCGGUGAAAUGCGUAGAUAUCGGAAGGAACACCAGUGGCGAAGGCGACUUCCUGGGCCAAUACUGACGCUGAGGUGCGAAAGCGUGGGGAGCAAACAGG
rnacentral:rRNA from 1 species